UACGUAGGGCGCAAGCGUUGUUCGGAAUUACUGGGCGUAAAGGGCUCGUAGGCGGCCAACUAAGUCGGACGUGAAAUCCCUCAGCUUAACUGGGGAACUGCGUCUGAUACUGGAUGGCUUGGAUUUGGGAGAGGGAUGCGGAAUUCCAGGUGUAGCGGUGAAAUGCGUAGAUAUCUGGAGGAACACCGGUGGCGAAGGCGGCAUCCUGGACCAACAUUGACGCUGAGGAGCGAAAGCCAGGGGAGCAAACGGG
rnacentral:rRNA from 1 species